rnacentral:rRNA from 1 species
UACGUAGGGGGCAAGCGUUGUCCGGAAUCAUUGGGCGUAAAGCGCGUGUAGGCGGCCCGGUAAGUCCGCUGUGAAAGUCAAAGGCUCAACCUUUGAAUGUCAGCGGAUACUGCCGGGCUAGAGUCCGGAAGAGGCGAGUGGAACUCCUGGUGUAGCGGUGGAAUGCGCAGAUAUCAGGAAGAACACCAACGGCGAAGGCAGCUCGCUGGGACGGUACUGACGCUGAGACGCGAAAGCGUGGGGAGCAAACAGG